rnacentral:rRNA from 1 species
GUAGUUAGCCGGGGCUUCCUCCUUGGCUACCGUCACUUCCAUCGUCACCAAGGACAGAAGUUUACAAUCCGAAAACCUUCAUCCUUCACGCGGCGUUGCUGGGUCAGGCUUUCGCCCAUUGCCCAAUAUUCCCCACUGCUGCCUCCCGUAGGAGUAUGGACCGUCUCUCAGUUCCAGUGUGGCCGAUCACCCUCUCAGGUCGGCUACCCAUCGUCGCCUUGGUGGGCCGUUACCUCACCAACUAGCUAAUGGGACGCGAACUCACCCCAAACCGGAUUGCUCCUUUUACCUCAGUACCAUGCGGUACCGUGGUCUUACGCGGUAUUAGCACCUGUUUCCAAGUGUUAUCCCCCUGUCUGGGACAGAUUGUUCACGCGUUACUCACCCGUCCGCCACUGGAAACACCACUUCCCGUCCGACUUGCAUGUGUAAGGCAUGCCGCCAGCGUUCAUCCUGAGCCAGUAUCAAACUCUGA